rnacentral:rRNA from 1 species
CCUACGGGAGGCAGCAGUGAGGAAUAUUGGUCAAUGGACGAGAGUCUGAACCAGCCAAGUAGCGUGAAGGAUGACUGCCCUAUGGGUUGUAAACUUCUUUUAUAUGGGAAUAAAACGUUCCACGUGUGGGUUUUUGUAUGUACCAUAUGAAUAAGGAUCGGCUAACUCCGUGCCAGCAGCCGCGGUAAUACGGAGGAUCCGAGCGUUAUCCGGAUUUAUUGGGUUUAAAGGGAGCGUAGGUGGCUUGUUAAGUCAGUUGUGAAAGUUUGCGGCUCAACCGUAAAAUUGCAGUUGAAACUGGCAGUCUUGAGUACAGUAGAGGUGGGCGGAAUUCGUGGUGUAGCGGUGAAAUGCUUAGAUAUCACGAAGAACUCCGAUUGCGAAGGCAGCUCACUAGACUGCAACUGACACUGAGGCUCGAAAGUGUGGGUAUCAAACAGGAUUAGAUACCCUUGUAGUC